UGAAACUCACAACAUCACCAC
rnacentral:siRNA from 1 species